UCCUACGGGGGGCAGCAGUAGGGAAUCUUCCACAAUGGGCGAAAGCCUGAUGGAGCAACGCCGCGUGGGUGAAGAAGGUCUUCGGAUCGUAAAACCCUGUUGUUAGAGAAGAAAGUGCGUGAGAGUAACUGUUCACAUUUCGACGGUAUCUAACCAGAAAGCCACGGCUAACUACGUGCCAGCAGCCGCGGUAAUACGUAGGUGGCAAGCGUUAUCCGGAUUUAUUGGGCGUAAAGGGAACGCAGGCGGUCUUUUAAGUCUGAUGUGAAAGCCUUCGGCUUAACCGGAUUAUGUAAUUG
rnacentral:rRNA from 1 species